rnacentral:tmRNA from 1 species
GGGGGCGAUCCGGUUUCGACGGGGAUUACUGAAGGAUGUGGUGCGUGUCGAGGUGGCCGUUGGCCUCGUUAAAAAGCGGCAAAGCCUUUAACUGGCAACAAUAACAGCUUUGCAAUGGCUGCCUAAACCCCAGCCCAGCAACCGUAGAGCCUCGCCAUUGGCGCUGCGCGAGCUGAUUUAAACAAUGGCUAGCUCCGGUUUUACUCUGGUGCCGGGCGCGAACUAAAACAGAGUUAAGGAAAGGAACGCCCGCCUGUAGGCCAGUCCCGCCCCGACAAUUCAAUCUGCAGGCUACACACGUAGAGUCACGCUGAAUGGGUUUCCGGACGAGAGUUCGACUCUCUCCGCCUCCACCA